GUGGUUGUACAUUGUUAUAAGGUUAUGGGUCUGUUAUCCAUCCAUAAAAAUUAUGGUUUUGUGUCUAAUUUGGGUAAUUAAUAGAGCCUUAUGAAAUGUUUACACAUUUUAUUGGCAUAUUACUUUGGUUAUAUGCCAAGGUCUGAUAUAGUACUUUUGUCCCCCUCCCCCUCAAUACAAAGUUUUUGGGGUGUAUAGGAAUAUGACUUUCAAAGCAACCAUUAUCAGGGCCUUUUAUAGCUGACUAUAUGCGGUAUGGGCUUUGCUCAUUGUUGAAGGCCGUAUGGUGACCUAUAAUUGUUAAUGUUUGUGUCAUUUUGGUCUUUUGUGGAUAGUUGUCUCAUUGGCAAUCAUACCACAUCUUCUUUUUUAUAUUAUUCUUUAUAUUUAUAUAUAUAGAGAGAGAAAGGGUAUAUAUAUAUAUAUAUCUUUUCAGAAACCAAUCCAAAGAUUGAAUCAACUAAUUUUUUUUUCAGCUACAUGUAAAUACAUCAUCAUCCAUAGCAGACCAUUGUUGUUC
rnacentral:lncRNA from 1 species